AAGCACUCCCCCACUCUCCCUCUCUCUCUCUCUCUCUCUCUAACACACACGCACACACACUCUCUCUCUCUCUCUCUAUCGAUAGAGAGAGAGAAAUGGCGAUGACCUCCUCUGGAGGAGGAAACGCGCCCGAUGCGAAGGUGGAGACGAUCUCGCGCUUGGCGCAGUGGCGGAUCGAGAGCUUCGGCCCCUCCUCGUACCGACGAUCCGACCCCUUCAAGCUCGGAUUCUGGAACUGGUAUUUAUCGGUCGAGAAGAACAGAUACAUGUACAUCCGCCUUUUUCCCGAACCAUGCCGGAUUUCUAAGGACCAGCCACCAAUCGCCCGGUUUGUGCUCCGUGUCUCGAGCCCUGGGCCUGGACGCCGCCCCUACAUCUAUUGAUUAUGUGUGGCUUUGAGGUCAACAGAUUCCAGCAGCUUCCCCUGCGGAAGCAUAUGUUCCGACGAUUGAUUUUUGUGCGAUUUUCGACUGGAUAGCUUCUUAGCUUAGAAGCCGCUUUUGAGGUACUGAGACUGAUUCGCAGGGCGGGGCUGGGAGCGAGUGAACGUUAGAUGUAGCUAGAUUUGAUUCUAGCCUUUUUCGUCUUCUUUCUAUUGCAUUUAGAUAUGAAUUUUGAACUUCGUAGAUAACCAUUUGUUUAUCUGUUUCUACUUUGUUAAUUCUUCGUACCCAUAUUUGUUAUUUAGAGUACUUGUUAGACUAAAUUUUGUUUGCGUUGCAUAAUAAACGUUAGUUCUGCUUAUAUGAUAUUUUCUUUUGAUUCUAGUUG